rnacentral:rRNA from 1 species
AUUGAACGCUGGCGGCAGGCCUAACACAUGCAAGUCGAACGGCAGCGGGGGGUAGCUUGCUACCCCGCCGGCGAGUGGCGGACGGGUGAGUAAUGCCUGGGGAGCUGCCCAAUCGAGGGGGAUACCAGUUGGAAACGACUGCUAAUACCGCAUACGCCCUGAGGGGGAAAGGUGGGGAUCUUCGGACCUACCGCGAUUGGAUGCACCCAGGUGGGAUUAGCUAGUUGGUGAGGUAACGGCUCACCAAGGCGACGAUCUCUAGCUGGUCUGAGGGGAUGACCAGCCACACUGGAACUGAGACACGGUACAGACUCCUACGGGAGGCAGCAGUGGGGAAUAGUGCACAAUGGGGGAAACCCUGAUGCAGCCAUGCCGCGUGUGUGAAGAAGGCCUUAGGGUUGUAAAGCACUUUCAGUGGGGAGGAAAGGGUGGAAGCUAAUACCUUUCAUCUGUGACGUUACCCACAGAAGAAGCACCGGCUAACUCCGUGCCAGCCGCCGCCGUAA